UACGUAGGGUGCAAGCGUUAAUCGGAAUUACUGGGCGUAAAGCGUGCGCAGGCGGUUUUGUAAGUUUGUCGUGAAAGCCCCGGGCUCAACCUGGGAAUUGCGAUGAAGACUGCAAGGCUUGAAUCUGGCAGAGGGGGGUAGAAUUCCACGUGUAGCAGUGAAAUGCGUAGAGAUGUGGAGGAACACCGAUGGCGAAGGCAGCCCCCUGGGCUAACACUGACGCUCAUGCACGAAAGCGUGGGGGAGCAAACAGG
rnacentral:rRNA from 1 species